UCGGAACGUGUCCUGUUGUGGGGGGAGUAACUGAUCGAAAGAUCAGCUAAUACCGCAUGAGGCCUGAGGGUGAAAGCGGGGGAGUCGCAAGACCUCGCGCGACAGGAGCGGCCGAUGUCUGAUUAGCUAGUUGGUGAGAUAAAAGCUUACCAAGGCGACGAUCAGUAGCUGGUCUGAGAGGAUGAUCAGCCACAUUGGGACUGAGACACGGCCCAGACUCCUACGGGAGGCGCAUG
rnacentral:rRNA from 1 species